UACGUAGGGACCGAGCGUUGUCCGGAUUCAUUGGGCGUAAAGAGCUCGUAGGCGGCCACUCAAGUCGAAUGUGAAACCUCGAGGCUCAACCUCGAGCCUGCAUUCGAUACUGGGCGGCUAGAGUCUGGUAGGGGGAUCUGGAAUUCCUGGUGUAGCGGUGGAAUGCGCAGAUAUCAGGAGGAACACCGGUGGCGAAGGCGGGUUGCUGGGCUGACACUGACGCUGAGGCGCGAAAGCUAGGGGAGCGAACGGG
rnacentral:rRNA from 1 species